AUUUAUCUUGGUGUAUAUAGCACAUAAAUUUUUGAUAUUUAAAGAAUGUUAAUAGAUAAAUU
rnacentral:tRNA from 1 species